rnacentral:rRNA from 1 species
GACGAACGCUGGCGGCGUGCUUAACACAUGCAAGUCGAACGAAGAGCGAUGGAAGCUUGCUUCUAUCAAUCUUAGUGGCGAACGGGUGAGUAACGCGUAAUCAACCUGCCCUUCAGAGGGGGACAACAGUUGGAAACGGCUGCUAAUACCGCAUACGAUCUAAUCUCGGCAUCGAGGAUAGAUGAAAGGUGGCCUCUACAUGUAAGCUAUCACUGAAGGAGGGGAUUGCGUCUGAUUAGCUAGUUGGAGGGGUAACGGCCCACCAAGGCGAUGAUCAGUAGCCGGUCUGAGAGGAUGAACGGCCACAUUGGGACUGAGACACGGCCCAGACUCCUACGGGAGGCAGCAGUGGGGAAUCUUCCGCAAUAGACGAAAGUCUGACGGAGCAACGCCGCGUGAGUGAUGACGGCCUUCGGGUUGUAAAGCUCUGUUAAUCGGGACGAAAGGCCUUCUUGCGAAUAGUGAGAAGGAUUGACGGUACCGGAAUAGAAAGCCACGGCUAACUACGUG